rnacentral:rRNA from 1 species
UACGUAGGGGGCUAGCGUUGCUCGGAAUUAUUGGGCGUAAAGGGGAGUGAGGGUGUCUCAUUUGUCCGGGGGGAAAGCCUUGAGCUUAACUCAAGAAGUGCCCCGGAAACGGUGAGACUCGAGUACUGGAGAGGGUCGUGGAAUUCCCGGUGUAGCGGUGGAAUGCGCAGAUAUCAGGAGGAACACCAAUAGCGAAGGCAGCUCGCUGGGACGGUACUGACGCUAAGGCGCGAAAGCGUGGGGAGCAAACAGG